GGUUUCGACAGGAAUAUUUAAGCAUAGAUGGCAAGUCGUAUGCUUACGUUACAAGCAAAAUUAAAUAUAACUGGAAACAGAAAUCAAUUAGCUUUUGCUUAAUUAAAUGCAAAGCAUCUUACUAUUUUUUAUCUACAGGAAAUAGCUAAGGUUCAAUUAUGUGGAUUAUAUUUUAGUAAUGUCUAUAGCUAAAAUGAAUUUAAUAGACUAGCUUAUUAUUUUGGUCGUUAAUUACUUGAAUAGUAGGCAAAUUUAAUUAGUUAACUAAACUUGUAGAAGUUUAUGUAUUGGUAUUUUUGGACAGGAGUUCGAUUCUCCUCAGCUCCACCA
rnacentral:tmRNA from 1 species